rnacentral:rRNA from 1 species
AAUAGAUACCCGGGUAGUCCACGCCGUAAACGAUGGAUACUAGCUGUUUGAGCGCAAGUUUGAGUGGCUAAGCGAAAGUGAUAAGUAUCCCACCUGGGGAGUACGGGCGCAAGCCUGAAACUCAAAGGAAUUGACGGGGGCCCGCACAAGCGGUGGAGCAUGUGGUUUAAUUCGAUGAUACGCAAGGAACCUUACCAGGGCUUAAAUGUAGAUUGACGUAUUUGGAAACAGAUAUUUCUUCGGACAAUUUACAAGGUGCUGCAUGGUUGUCGUCAGCUCGUGCCGUGAGGUGUCAGGUCAAGUCCUAUAACGAGCGCAACCCCUGUUGUUAGUUGCCAGCGAGUAAUGUCGGGAACUCUAGCAAGACUGCCAGUGUAAACUGUGAGGAAGGUAGGGGAGUGACGUCAAAUCAUCACGGCCCUUACGUCCUGGGCCACACACGUGCUACAAUGGCCGGUACAGAGAGCAGCCACUUAGCGAUAAGGAGCGAAUCUAUAAAGCCGGUCACAGUUCGGA